rnacentral:lncRNA from 1 species
CUACCCCGCCACCUUCCCACCCAGCGCGCGGGAGCGCCACGCGGUGACAGCUCCGGGUCCUGACGCCACAACGCAUCUCCAGGCAGCCCGCCCCCCUCGCAACAUCCGUCACCUGACCCGGCCAUAUCAGGAACCGCCACGGUCCGGCUCCCGUCUCUGCUUCCCUGACCCCCUUCCUUUAUUCCUCGCGCCCCUCGCUGGGGUGGGGAGGUCCUCCCUUUCUUCAAACCGGAUUAUUUAAAAAACAAAAAGAAAAAAAAAACGCAAAGUCAUCUCCUGGCUCUAUCCGCCAUUCACGAGGCUGGAUGUCAGUUUUUGAAAGAAAUGGCGCUACGCUCCACUUCUAGAUUUGGGAAACCAGCGGAAUUAAAGGAAACUGCUGCGACAUCUGGACACUGCGUGGCGCUGGCGCCGCUGGAGCGGCGGGCCCCGCUCCGGACCAGGUGCCCAGUUUGGUAAGAUGUCCUGUGAGAACCUGAAGUGUGAAGGAGCUGAAAGCAGUCAUUCUCUCUUUUGAUGAGAGGAAGAAUAGCUUCAUUCUGAAUCAAUGAAAAGACUUCUGUCUUCUUGCCAGCAGAUAUAUGUUAUCUUCACUUAUAGAAUUGAAAGUGUACCUCAAAGGAGCAUUCUCUUGGGAAGAAAGGUAAUGAGAUAAAAGAGAAUGAAUGUUUUUAAAAUCAUGGACACCUAGGAU